AUCUACCCAUGCUUAAAGCCCAAACCAUCUUUGGACUUCAAAAUUACAGAGAAUGAUGUAUUUCUUUUCUACUUAAGCCAUUCUUAGAAAGCAAUGCAAGGGCUGGUGAGAUGGCUCA
rnacentral:miRNA from 1 species